rnacentral:rRNA from 1 species
GACGAACGCUGGCGGCGUGCCUAAUACAUGCAAGUCGAGCGGUCCCUUCGGGGAUAGCGGCGGACGGGUGAGUAACACGUAGGCAACCUGCCUUUAAGACUGGGAUAACUAUCGGAAACGAUAGCUAAGACCGGAUAGCUGAUUUACUCGCAUGGGAGAAUCAUGAAACACGGAGCAAUCUGUGGCUUGAAGAUGGGCCUGCGGCGCAUUAGCUAGUUGGUAGGGUAACGGCCUACCAAGGCGACGAUGCGUAGCCGACCUGAGAGGGUGAACGGCCACACUGGGACUGGGACACGGCCCAGACUCCUACGGGAGGCAGCAGUAGGGAAUCUUCCGCAAUGGACGAAAGUCUGACGGAGCAACGCCGCGUGAGUGAUGAAGGUUUUCGGAUCGUAAAGCUCUGUUGCCCUAGACGAACAGCAUCAGGAGUAACUGCCUGGUGUGUGACGGUAUAGGAGAAGAAAGCCCCGGCUAACUACGUGCCAGCCGCCGCAGUAAAAC